UACGUAGGGGGCAAGCGUUGUCCGGAUUUAUUGGGCGUAAAGAGCUCGUAGGCGGUUCGCUAAGUCGGGUGUGAAACCUCCAGGCUCAACCUGGAGACGCCACCUGAUACUGGUGUGACUCGAGUCCGGUAGGGGAGCGUGGAAUUCCUGGUGUAGCGGUGAAAUGCGCAGAUAUCAGGAGGAACACCGAUUGCGAAGGCAGCUCGCUGGGACGUAACUGACGCUGAGACGCGAAAGCGUGGGGAGCAAACAGG
rnacentral:rRNA from 1 species